CCUACGGGGGGCUGCAGUGAGGAAUAUUGGUCAAUGGACGAGAGUCUGAACCAGCCAAGUAGCGUGAAGGAUGACUGCCCUAUGGGUUGUAAACUUCUUUUAUAUGGGAAUAAAACGUUCCACGUGUGGGAUUUUGUCUGUACCAUAUGAAUAAGGAUCGGCUAACUCCGUGCCAGCAGCCGCGGUAAUACGGAGGAUCCGAGCGUUAUCCGGAUUUAUUGGGUUUAAAGGGAGCGUAGGUGGAUUGUUAAGUCAGUUGUGAAAGUUUGCGGCUCAACCGUAAAAUUGCAGUUGAAACUGGCAGUCUUGAGUACAGUAGAGGUGGGCGGAAUUCGUGGUGUAGCGGUGAAAUGCUUAGAUAUCACGAAGAACUCCGAUUGCGAAGGCAGUUCACUGGACUGCAACUGACACUGAGGCUCGAAAGUGUGGGUAUCAAACAGGAUUAGAUACCCGGGUAGUC
rnacentral:rRNA from 1 species